AUGAGAGGCCAAGGCCCUCUUUCUCUGCUGUUCUCUGGGCUCUACCUAGUUCUAUUUGUUGACUCCCUCUUCAGACUCGUAGCAGGACUGAUGAAGUUCCAGGAAUCAUAUCCAGGCCUUGAAAUAGAUAAAGGCUUUUAUAGAUUUCUCAUGUCUUUUUUUUUCUUUUUCUUUUUUUUUAGGAAUAGAGAAAUCUUUCCCCGAAAUACCAUAUUAGAGGUUUCCUUACAACCCAUUGUCCAGAAUCGGAUUUCAUGCCAUGACAGAGACCUCUAGUUGCUUCUAAAUAUCUUUUCUCCCCAUUUCCUUUAGUAAUAUUAUCAUGAUUUUUAUCAGAGCUUAUGACUAGUCAUUUAAAUUUAAAUNNNNNNNNNNNNNNUUCCAUGUAAAUGUAAAUAAAAAUGUUAUGUAGAACUUGUGGGAAGUAUUUUUUAAAAGGAAGACAGCAUCCUCUUUUAUCUUUCGUUCUGAUUUCUAUAAUGUAGACAUGAUGGCUGAAACUUUCACAUUCACCUUGGACCAUGAUGACAAAGACAUACUCAAAAAACUGGAAGAAGCCUGGGUCCCUGAUGAUUUCAGAGACCUGCCCUUAAGGAGCAUUGGACUACCUGCCUCCAGAUAGGUGAGAAAGUAAGACCUGUGUUUUUAGUUAAUUGUUAAUUUGGGUUUGCAUUGACUUCUGGUGAAUCUAAUACUGACUAGGACGCAUGCCCAUUCCCAAUCAGUCACUGGCAAGAGGAACUGUCACCACCUGACUGGGGGCAAAUGGAUUGGGGAGGGGUCAUAAUAAUCACCACAGUAAAUACUACUUAAAAAUAUAUCAAGUACUUCUGCUAGAAACAGAGUACUAUAAGAAAGCAGUAUUCUCAAUGUCUACAUAAGAAGCCACCUUAUUGUAAGUACUUUAUCAUCUUAGUUACAAAACUUAGAUGAUUAUUUCCUAGAAAGUUCAGAAGAAUCUUCAGUCCAGUCCAGUCUCUAAGUUGUGUCCGACUCUUUGUGACCCCUGGAUUAUAGCACUCCAAGCUUCCCAGAGCUUGUUUAAACUCAUGUCGGUUGAGUGGGUGAUGCCAUCUAACCCCCUCAUCCUCUGUCAUCCCUUUUUCCUCUUGCCUUCAAUCUUUUCCAGCAUCAGGGUCUUUUCCAAUGAGUUGGCUUGUCUCGUCAGGUGGCCAAAGUAUUGAAUGGAGCUUCAGCAUCAGUCCUUCCAAUGAAUAUUCUGGGUUGAUUUCUUU
rnacentral:lncRNA from 1 species